UAAUGCUUAUGUGUUUGAGAUGUGAGAGUGAAUGUGUUUGAGAUAUGAGAAUGAAUUGUGAAUGAAUGAGAGUGAAUGCUCAUGUGUUUGAGAUGUGAGAAUGAAUUGUGCUUGCAGAAAGCCAGUAAACAGAUAGUUCAAUGAGAUAAGAGCUGUCUUAGGAGAUUGUACCUUUUUCUGAAAGAGCUGUGGUAAGGCUGACAGGUCAAGAUUGACUGACUGGCUGGGCCUUCACCAGGUGUGAGAAGUCUUAGUACCAUUGUUGGUCCCAGGACUUCUGUUCCAGUAAGCUCAUUAAAAUGUUUUAUUUUUCCAACACCAUCACCAAUUUGAGUUUCAUUAUCUGGAAUAUCUUCUAAGUUUUUUGCUCUGAUGCUGGCAUCCUGGGCAAAGUCCAGAUAGCUCAGGCUUGUAGUGCCGCCAGUACAUACAGGAGUGAGAAGCCCAACAGUUUCAAUUCCGUGAUCUUUGUUUUUAAAUGGUAAAUUGUAAUGCCACAUGAAUGUAGCGUUUUAUCCUGAAUUUUAGCUAAGUAAAACUUCAGAGAAUUAAGGGAAUGAUUUUUUUCUCCUUUUUAUUUGACAGGGUCUGGCUCUGUCACCCAGGCUGGAGUACAGUGGCAUGAUCUUGGCUCACUGCAGCCUCCACCUCCCAGGCUCAAGCCAUCCUCCCAUGUCAACCUUCUGAGUAGCUGAAACCACAGGCAUGUUUCACCAUGGCCAGCUAAUUUUUGUAUUUUUUAGUAGAAAUGGGGUUUCGCCAUGUUGCCCAGGCCUGUCUCGAACUCCUGAAGCACAAGUGAUCCACCUGCCUAGGUGACCCAAAGUAAUGGGAUUACAGGCAAUGGACCUCAUCAUGACCGUUGCUGUACUUACAAUGAAAACAACUUGGUGGAUGGUGUGUAUUGUCUCCCAAUAGGACACUGGAUUGAGGCCACUGGGCACACCAAUGAAAUGAAGCACACAACAGACUUCUAUUUUAAUAUUGCAGGCCACCAAGCCAUGCAUUAUUCAAGAAUUCUACCAAAUAUCUGGCUGGGUAGCUGCCCUCGUCAGGUGGAACAUGUAACCAUCAAACUGAAGCAUGAAUUGGGGAUUACAGCUGUAAUGAAUUUCCAGACUGAAUGGGAUAUUGUACAGAAUUCCUCAGGCUGUAACCGCUACCCAGAGCCCAUGACUCCAGACACUAUGAUUAAACUAUAUAGGGAAGAAGGCUUGGCCUACAUCUGGAUGCCAACACCAGAUAUGAGCACCGAAGGCCGAGUACAGAUGCUGCCCCAGGCGGUGUGCCUGCUGCAUGCGCUGCUGGAGAAGGGACACAUCGUGUAUGUGCACUGCAACGCUGGGGUGGGCCGCUCCACCGCGGCUGUCUGCGGCUGGCUCCAGUAUGUGAUGGGCUGGAAUCUGAGGAAGGUGCAGUAUUUCCUCAUGGCCAAGAGGCCGGCUGUCUACAUUGACGAAGAGGCCUUGGCCCGGGCACAAGAAGAUUUCUUCCAGAAAUUUGGGAAGGUUCGUUCUUCUGUGUGUAGCCUGUAGCUGGUCAGCCUGCUUCUGCCCCCUCCUGAUUUCCCUAAGGAGCCUGGGAUGAUGUUGGUCAAAUGACCUAGAAACAAGGAUUCUACCUGAACUGAAAGGACUGUGUGACCUCCCCCAAGCCAACCACUUUCACCUGGGAUGACUUUCGAUUAUGCUUUGUUUUGGGGCUGUAUUUUUGAAAUACUCUACAAGAAAGCUGUGACUCAACACAUGAGAAGAAGCAUGAAGCAGUUAGGCUGUACAUCAGACAGAAGGGUAAUGCGUGCAGUUCCUGCUGCCUGCAGGCGGACGAGGCCUUUGCUUUACAGCACUGUGUGUGUUGCACGAUGGAUCUGUGACAGCACUUUCCUGUUGCACUGAAACUCUUGGCCAUGCAGAGGAAAAGAUAUGGAGUUAUGUGGAUUUCAUCACUAGUAUGUGUGCGUGAGCUGGUCAGUUGCCAAAGGAGGAAAUAAGGUUAGAAGCCUGAACCGUUACAAAAGAAGAGCUCACUGUGGUCAAAAAGUGAUGGCUUUCAGGACUUGUUUUUUAUCCUGCCUCACAGUUGUUAAAGUCUGUUCCAAGGCAUCACCUUCCUUCUCUACCCAACAACCCUGUGUAACAACUAAAGUAGAAUUAUCUCUCAUUUGUUGUUGUUUUUCCUCAAAAUUGCCAAACAAAGCAAAAAAUACCCUUGUUUUUUAUAGUUGAGAUGUCAAGAAGUUAAAUUGAGGCUUAAUGAGCAUAGGUAGCUUGUCCAAGGUCUCAUGACCAAUCAAGGGCAAGCUGGAGUUAAUAAUCUAUAUUUAUUUGACUCAGCGCUGUUUUCAUCACAACUUGUUUUCCCAGCAUCAUGUAGUGCAUUCAGUUUUGUCUUUCUCAGGGUAUGGUCAAUAUGCCUGCAGGAGUUUCUAUAGCGAGACAUAGAAUAGUAUUCUGAUCAGUUGCCAAAGAAUCUAGGAAAUUAGUUGUAUUUUGUGCAAGCUAAUUUAAAAACAUGAUGGACUGUUUUAAGACCAGAGUGGAAAUUCAUGAGAGGAACUAUACUACCAAAAGAGCCCAAAUGACCAAAUCCAUGGAUAAUUGCUUCACAGCCUUGGCCAUCCUGGCUCAGCCCUCAAUUUAGUAUAAUAUGCAGUUCCUGUGCCUCCAGACUAUGCAGCUCAUCACCCUAGGUUCUGCAGGAAAUACAGAGAUGAACAACUUUGCCUUCAAAAAUGUGCUGCCUAGAAACAGACCUGCAUUCAACCAACUGUGAUGCAGGAUUGGACUAUGAAUGAUAUGCUAGAAUAGAAGAAAGAGAAGUGUGUUUUUAAUUGAGAGCCUCUAUGUGCAAGGUGAUAUAUAAUCAUAUCCAGUUUAAUCUUCACAAUAUCCAAUGAAGAAGGUCUCAUUAUCUCCAUGAUAAAGAUGGGGAAACUAGGGUCAGAAGGGUUAACUCAACUGUCUAUUGUCGCAUGAUGAAUAAAUAGAUGAAGUGAGAUACAAAGCUAGGUUUGAUUCAAAGCCCUUACUUUCCUAAUUAAACUAUGAUGCGUAUUUAUUUUUCUGCACCUUCCUUUCUUCCACAACCCAUAUUGAUAGAUGCAAGAGACUCUUAUUUAGAAGGCGUGGGGGACAAGAAGGAUACAAGGUAAGUUUCAGUGGAGCUCAGAGGACGGGGAGAUAUAACUGUGGCACUUAGGGGAGAUGACAUUUGCUUUGGGCAGAGGCAGCUAGCCAGGACACAUUUCCACUAUAAUUUUACAAAGUUAAAUUUAUAAGCUAGCAUUAAGUAAAGUGAAGUCCAGCUCCCUUGCUAAAAAUAACUAGAGGUAAUAAUUGGUAUUCAGGUAACUCAUUUACAGUCAUAAUGUGUUGUGAAAAUUUAAUCUUAAAAAUUAAAUUUUUAAACUAUGUGGGUCUGUGAAUUUCUUUAAUGUCUAAGAAAUCCAGCUUCAUAAUUUCCAUGAUACAAAGAUCUUUUUUCAGGUGGAUUUUUACCUUUGUUCCUUUUGCUCUGAUAGACAAAAUCAGUUUAGGACUAUGAAAGAAUGUUUUGGAAUAAACUGUCUUUUUCCUCAAUGAAUGGGAUAUCUAAUGUAUUUCAAAAUCACCCAAAACUUUUGGCAAAUAAAAGCAUUUAAAAAGAC
rnacentral:sRNA from 1 species